rnacentral:rRNA from 1 species
UCUUUUCCUUUUGUGCCCGCAGCCGCGGUAAUACGGAAGGUCCGGGCGUUAUCCGGAUUUAUUGGGUUUAAAGGGAGCGUAGGCCGGAGAUUAAGCGUGUUGUGAAAUGUAGGCGCUCAACGUCUGCACUGCAGCGCGAACUGGUUUCCUUGAGUACGCACAAAGUGGGCGGAAUUCGUGGUGUAGCGGUGAAAUGCUUAGAUAUCACGAAGAACUCCGAUUGCGAAGGCAGCUCACUGGAGCGCAACUGACGCUGAAGCUCGAAAGUGCGGGUAUCGAACAGG